GAGUGAACGCUGGCGAUAGGCCUAACACAUGCAAGUCGAACGGCAGCACAGUAAGAGCUUGCUCUUACGGGUGGCGAGUGGCGGACGGGUGAGGAAUACAUCGGAAUCUACUUUUUCGUGGGGGAUAACGUAGGGAAACUUACGCUAAUACCGCAUACGACCUACGGGUGAAAGCAGGGGAUCUUCGGACCUUGCGCGAUUGAAUGAGCCGAUGUCGGAUUAGCUAGUUGGCGGGGUAAAGGCCCACCAAGGCGACGAUCCGUAGCUGGUCUGAGAGGAUGAUCAGCCACACUGGAACUGAGACACGGUCCAGACUCCUACGGGAGGCAGCAGUGGGGAAUAUUGGACAAUGGGCGCAAGCCUGAUCCAGCCAUACCGCGUGGGUGAAGAAGGCCUUCGGGUUGUAAAGCCCUUUUGUUGGGAAAGAAAAGCAGCAGGUUAAUACCUCGCUGUUCUGACGGUACCCAAAGAAUAAGCACCGGCUAACUUCGUG
rnacentral:rRNA from 1 species